AAAUGAUUCUUUGAUGCAACAGGUUAACAGCCUACGAGAAGAGCUGCAACUCUUGGCAUCAAAUAGAUCUGUUACAAUUGUUACCGGAGAACGAUCAGCAUCUGGUAAAUAUGGAAUGGUAAUUAUUACUAUAGUUGCUGGAUAUGGCUACAUUUGGUGGAAGGGUUGGAAGAUUUCGAUAUGAUGUUUGCAACA